GGGGGCGAAUUAGAUUCGACGUUGGUGGCUGAAACCGCACGGCAAGCCGUGGCGCCACAACACGUUAAACUGGCAACGCACAUAGGUGCAAAACCCAAUUUCCAACCCCUUCCUAUGGUAGCUUAGGCGACCUGGAUGAGGGUGUAGAGGCAGAAUGUCCUCUACCGCUCCCGCAGAUUCGUCUCCCUUUGCGAGCUGCGAUGAGUGUCAUAAAAAGUUAGGGCGCCCGUCGUCCACGCCGAUAAGACGACGCCAAGACUCAUCGGCUAGCCUCAUGUAAAGCGCGCCGCCUGGGCCUGCAUGAGGCGAAACUUACCAGACGGCUAAGCUUGUAGAUGUGCGAGAUUCGAAACCAGCGGACCCGGGGGGCAGGUCCCCGGCGCUUCCACUC
rnacentral:tmRNA from 1 species